CAUAGCGACUAUCGUGGCAUAUCAAUAAGCGGAGGAAAAGAAACUAACUAGGAUUCCCUUAGUAACGGCGAGUGAAGCGGGAAGAGCUCAAAUUUGAAAUCUUCAAGGUUCUACCUUGACGAAUUGUAGUUUAAAGAAGUGUUUUCUGUUGAAGUUUUGGUAAAAGUUCUUUGGAAUAGGACAUCAUAGAGGGUGAGAAUCCCGUAUUUGACCAUUAUUCUUCAGCUGUGUGAUACACUUUCAAAGAGUCGGAUUGUUUGGGAAUGCAGUCCAAAAUGGGUGGUAAAUUUCAUCUAAAGCUAAAUAUUGGCGAGAGACCGAUAGCGAACAAGUACCGUGAGGGAAAGAUGAAAAGAACUUUGAAAAGAGAGUUAAACAGUACGUGAAAUUGUCAAAAGGGAAGCGUUUGACACCAGUGUUGUUUUCUCGAAAAUCAAUUAAAAAAGGCUUGAUUUUGUGUUGUUAAGACUUUAUCAGCUUACUGCACUUUUUUCAUGUCUUUUUUAAUGCACUUUUCGUUUAACAAGUCAACAUCAAUUUCUUUUGUUGUAAAAGGGUCAUUGGAAGGUGGCUCUCAUUUCGGUGAAAGUGUUUAUAGCCUUUGACCUCUGCAAUCGGAGAGAUUGAGGUCUGCAGCGUAGAUCCUUCGGGGUUAGAUACAUUUGUGCUAAGUUAUAGUUUUUCAUAGACAACCUGUUGACUAUGAUUAAUCAUGUAGCUUACCCGCUUAUGCUAUUUUACCUACGCUUAGGAUGUUGAAGAUAUGCGCGACACG
rnacentral:rRNA from 1 species